rnacentral:rRNA from 1 species
UACGGAGGAUGCGAGCGUUAUCCGGAUUUAUUGGGUUUAAAGGGUGCGUAGGCGGGCUUUUAAGUCAGCGGUAAAAAUUCGGGGCUCAACCCCGUCCGGCCGUUGAAACUGGGGGCCUUGAGUGGGCGAGAAGAAGGCGGAAUGCGUGGUGUAGCGGUGAAAUGCACAGAUAUCACGCAGAACCCCGAUUGCGAAGGCAGCCUUCCGGCGCCCUACUGACGCUGAGGCACGAAAGUGCGGGGAUCGAACAGG